AGAAAUUGGAUCUCAGCCACAGAAAUCAUGUGAGGAUACAGCAACAGGAAAAGGAAAGGCCAAUUUGUAAGGAAGAAGAAUCCAUUGAGGACUUUGCAAAACAUCCAUAAUCUGAAGAGGGUAGAGUGAGAUACCUGCUGUGCCUGCACUGAAACAGCUGUUUCAAGAACCUUAAGCAUCUGGGGAAGUCAUCCAGAGAAAGGCCAUCCACUGUGCUUUUGAUCUCUCCACUUCAGGCACUGAAGCACUGCCUGCCCAUAUGCUUGGAGUUCUUCCAAUAGAAGGAAGCUGUCUGAGGAAAAAGGACAUGCUACAUCUAUCUGAUUCCUAUUCCUGUCACAAUCACCACAACACCACUUCACCCUGGAAGCAGUAGAGCUGAUUGGAGGAGCAGCAGCUGAUUCCAGUUUGCAGUCUUUCCACAUACAUGGAAGUCAUAUUCUGGCAUCUCGCAGACAACUUAAGUGAUGAAAUUGAGGAUGAAUAGCUUCAUGGUGAUCUACAUCCACUUAACGAAUACUAAUUAUAUUUUCUCACCUUUAUGAUUUUUUAAAUAACAUUCAUUUUACUCUAGCUUACUUCAUUAUAAGAAUACAGUACAUAGUACAUAUAACAUAUAAAAUAUGUGUUCAUCGAUUGUUUAUGUUCUUGGUAAAGCUUCUGGUCAACAGUAGGCUAUUGGUAGUUAAGUUUUUGGGGAGUCAAAAGUUAUACAUUCAAUUUAUAACCCUGGUUGAGUAUCAUAAUCAAUACCAUGCAAACAACAUCUAUAUAUACUCCAUAUCCUUUUUUUCCUUUUUCUUGUAUUAUCUAUGGUAUUAACCUAUCAAAAACCCAAAUCAUCCUGUUGCUCUGCAGUAUACCAAGGCAGAUGAAUGUAGGGGCUAGAGAAAAAUAUGCAGUCUCACUCAUAGUUUGUUCUUUGAAUUGAUGGCAACAAACCCCAAGUGAGCCUUCAUCCCUGUCCAUAAAUCUUGCUGCAUUUCUAGUCAGACAUUUUCUUUUUAUCUCUCUGGAUCCAUUGUCUAUAAUUCUCCAAGCUUCUCCCUUUCUUAGGUAACUGAGCUGAAGGGAAGCUUUAGGUUUUGCAAAUUUCAGCUUUUGCUGAGAGAGGGAGUAAGAAAUGGAGAAUCAUUUAUCUUCUCUGUAUUUGGAGUUUGUAUUAUUAACCCUCUUAACAAAAACUGGGACUCAGGUGUACCUGCACUUCUUAGGGACUUAUACCAACAUCAAAAUUAUUUUCACUUUUUCUCUGACUCUUCCCUUUUUAAGUACAGGGAAUAAUGAUGUAGUGUCCAGGGAGUAGAAGAAUCACUUCUCAUUCACACUUCCAAACCCAUUGCUAUGACCUGGGAUUUUUCCAUCCCACCCCUAAAAGCUGAGCCAUUGAGCCUCCUAUCAAAACUGGGAUUUUUACGUCCCACCCCGAAAACCUAAGCCAUUGAGUUUCCUGUCAAGACAUUUGUUGUUUGAUUCUACUGUACCAUUCAAUACAACAGGUUAAACUAUCUGAAUGGAAGAAAGCAUAGAGAUUGCAUGAAAUGUUAAGGAAUUUUAAGAAAUGGAACAUUUUACACACACACACACACACACACACACACACACACACACACUACUGAAGUUUUCCAGAUUAGCCAAAGAACACAUAAACUCUCUGUAAAUUGAUGAGGCUUCCUUAAUUGGUAAUGAGUUCCCAUUACUGGAAAUAUUAAGGUAAAUUAGAGCAAUCAUCUCUCCAGUAUAUUGUCCAGUAAAUUAGUGCAUUAUACAAGAGAUUGAAGAGGAUGGCCUUCUAGGAAAGAUGAAUUUUAUGGUUCACACAAACUGAAGUUUUAUGCUUGUGGUGAUGAGAUUCAUAAUGUAGAAAAGCACUUCUGUCCAAACUCUUUUCUUAAGAUAUUUAUUUCCCUGACACACUACAACUAAGAACUCAAGCACGCUCUGGAUGAUUUAGGUAUCUACAGUGAAUAGAAGGUUAUAGCGAUACUCUGAUAAAACACUAAAUCUCAGCACACUCCUUGAGUUGUUUUCAGGCCUCAGAUAACCAUCAGAUUUUGGAAGAUAAUUGUGUAGGAGAGUUUCAGGUAUCCCGUGAAUCUCAGGAAAAAAGAUAUUCCUCUUGUAGAUAGGCCUUAAUGACCUACCAUUUUGCUCCUAUCUCACUAUUUAUAAAACUCUAUUUUACAUGAUAAAAUAGAGUAAAAUAGAACAUAGAUUUUUCUACUUGUGUGUGUGUCACAGUCACGGUGUUGUUGAUGAGACUCUUACCUACAAAAUUCAUAAACUAUAAAACAUUUCCCCAAUAUGAGUAUUAAUAGCAAUACAUUUAAUAUUAUGAAAUAUUUUAAAUGCUUAACUUAAUGAUGAGUUUUAUUCAUUUAGAGUUGAAAAUAUAAAUGUUAGGAUUAUUCUCUACAAAUUGUGAGAGAUUCAUUACAGUAUUUGAGAGGCACUUAACAGUAAUAGUUUUCUAUAGAACUGUCACAGAAAUGCUAUGAUCUACCUUUAAAAGCAAUAAGUAGAAUAACUGUGUAGAUUGAGG
rnacentral:lncRNA from 10 species